UCAGAUUGAACGCUGGCGGCAGGCCUAACACAUGCAAGUCGAGCGGUAGAGAGAAGCUUGCUUCUCUUGAGAGCGGCGGACGGGUGAGUAAUGCCUAGGAAUCUGCCUGGUAGUGGGGGAUAACGCUCGGAAACGGACGCUAAUACCGCAUACGUCCUACGGGAGAAAGCAGGGGACCUUCGGGCCUUGCGCUAUCAGAUGAGCCUAGGUCGGAUUAGCUAGUUGGUGAGGUAAUGGCUCACCAAGGCGACGAUCCGUAACUGGUCUGAGAGGAUGAUCAGUCACACUGGAACUGAGACACGGUCCAGACUCCUACGGGAGGCAGCAGUGGGGAAUAUUGGACAAUGGGCGAAAGCCUGAUCCAGCCAUGCCGCGUGUGUGAAGAAGGUCUUCGGAUUGUAAAGCACUUUAAGUUGGGAGGAAGGAUUGUAGAUUAAUACUCUGCAAUUUUGACGUUACCGACAGAAUAAGCACCGGCUAACCCUGUGCCAGCAGCCGCGGUAAUACAGAGGGUGCAAGCGUUAAUCGGAAUUACUGGGCGUAAAGCGCGCGUAGGUGGUUCGUUAAGUUGGAUGUGAAAUCCCCGGGCUCAACCUGGGAACUGCAUUCAAAACUGUCGAGCUAGAGUAUGGUAGAGGGUGGUGGAAUUUCCUGUG
rnacentral:rRNA from 1 species